GAGUUUGAUCCUGGCUCAGAUUGAACGCUGGCGGCAGGCCUAACACAUGCAAGUCGAGCGGUAGAGAGAAGCUUGCUUCUCUUGAGAGCGGCGGACGGGUGAGUAAUGCCUAGGAAUCUGCCUGGUAGUGGGGGAUAACGCUCGGAAACGGACGCUAAUACCGCAUACGUCCUACGGGAGAAAGCAGGGGACCUUCGGGCCUUGCGCUAUCAGAUGAGCCUAGGUCGGAUUAGCUAGUUGGUGAGGUAAUGGCUCACCAAGGCGACGAUCCGUAACUGGUCUGAGAGGAUGAUCAGUCACACUGGAACUGAGACACGGUCCAGACUCCUACGGAGGCAGCAGUGGGGAAUAGUUGGACAAUGGGCGAAAGCCUGAUCCAGCCAUGCCGCGUGUGUGAA
rnacentral:rRNA from 1 species